UACGGAGGUGGCUAGCGUUACUCGGAAUUAUUGGGUGUAAAGGGCAAGUAGGCGGUUUAAUAAGUGGGGGGUGAAAUACUCCGGCUCAAUCGGAGAACAGCCUUCCAAACUGUUAGACUUGAGUGUGACAGAGGAAAAUGGAAUUCUAGGUGUAAGGGUGAAAUCUGUAGAUAUCUAGAAGAACACCAGCUGCGAAGGCGAUUUUCUGGGUCAUUACUGACACUGAAGAACGAAAGCUAGGGGAGCAAACAGG
rnacentral:rRNA from 1 species